GCCAAGUUGGCUAAGGCUUGAGACUGUUAAUCUCAAGAUCGUGAGUUCGACCCUCACC
rnacentral:tRNA from 1 species